rnacentral:rRNA from 1 species
AUGAACGCUGGCGGCGUGCUUAACACAUGCAAGUCGAACGAAGCACUUAAGAUUGAUUCUUCGGAUGACGUCUUUUGUGACUUAGUGGCGGACGGGUGAGUAACGCGUGGGUAACCUGCCUCACACAGGGGGAUAACAGUUAGAAAUGACUGCUAAUACCGCAUAACCCGAUAGGAUCGCAUGAUCCAGACGGAAAAGAUUUAUCGGUGUGAGAUGGACCCGCGUCUGAUUAGCUAGUUGGUGAGGUAACGGCCCACCAAGGCGACGAUCAGUAGCCGGCCUGAGAGGGUGAACGGCCACAUUGGGACUGAGACACGGCCCAAACUCCUACGGGAAGCAGCAGUGGGGAAUAUUGCACAAUGGGGGAAACCCUGAUGCAGCGACGCCGCGUGAGUGAAGAAGUAUUUCGGUAUGUAAAGCUCUAUCAGCAGGGAAGAAAAUGACGGUACCUGACUAAGAAGCCCCGGCUAACUACGUG